rnacentral:rRNA from 1 species
AUACGGAGGGUGCAAGCGUUACUCGGAAUCACUGGGCGUAAAGCGCGCGCAGGCGGCUAUUUAAGUUGGAUGUGAAAGCCUAUGGCUCAACCAUAGAACUGCAUCCAAAACUAUUUAGCUAGAGUGGGGGAGAGGAAGAUGGAAUUAGUUGUGUAGGGGUAAAAUCCGUAGAGAUAACUAGGAAUACCAAAAGCGAAGGCAAUCUUCUGGAACACUACUGACGCUGAGGCGCGAAAGCGUGGGGAGCAAACAGGAUUAGAAACCCUAGUAGUCC